rnacentral:rRNA from 1 species
GAUGAACGCUGGCGGCGUGCCUAAUACAUGCAAGUCGAGCGAAGCGGGGACGGGUGAGUAACACGUGGAUAACCUCCUAUAAGACUGGGAUAACUUCGGGAAACCGGAGCUAAACCGGAUACUUAUAGAUGGAUCCGCGCUGCAUUAGCUAGUUGGUAAGGUAACGGCUUACCAAGGCAACGAUGCAUAGCCCACCGGAGAGGGUGAUUGGCCAACAUGGGAAGGAGAACAGGUCCAGACGCCUAGGGGAGGGAGCAGGAGGGCAUCUUGCGGCAGGGGCGAAAGGUAUAAGGGGAAACGCCGAGAGAGUGAUGAAGGUAUUCGGAGUGGAAAAAUCUGUUAUUAGGGAAGCGGUACCUAAUCAGAAAGCCACGGCUAACUACGUGCCAGCAGCCGCGGUAAUAC